CGAUGAGAAAAUCUUAGUUAUUUAGUAACAACCCUUUUUUUCAAAAUAAAAAGUGAAAAGGGUUCUGGAAAAACAAUAACUGCUUAUACUACUUUAAUAAACUAAAAAGAUGAGAAGUAAUUAUAAGGACGAAUAACCGUACCUAAAAACUACCACAAGUAAGUUAGUAGAGAAUACGAAGGCGUUUGAGUGAACAAUCAUUAAGGAACUCGGCAAAUUAACUACCGUAACUUCGGGAUAAGGAGAGCCAUUCCUCCUGAUUAAUAUCAGGUAAAGAAGAGGAAGCAUAGAAUAAUGUUGUACGACUGUUUAAUUAAAACAAAGCACUCUGCAGUAAGAUAAUAAAUCAAAGUAUUGAGUGUGAUUUCUGCCCGAUGUCGGCUGGUUAACGGAUUUGCUAAGUUGACUAAUACAGACUUGGUUUUGAAGGAAACCCCGAUCAAUGGCGGCUUU
rnacentral:rRNA from 1 species